GUGCCAGCAGCCGCGGUAAUACGUAGGGCGCAAGCGUUGUCCGGAAUUAUUGGGCGUAAAGAGCUCGUAGGCGGCUUGUCACGUCGGGUGUGAAAGCCCGGGGCUUAACCCCGGGUCUGCAUUCGAUACGGGCUAGCUAGAGUGUGGUAGGGGAGAUCGGAAUUCCUGGUGUAGCGGUGAAAUGCGCAGAUAUCAGGAGGAACACCGGUGGCGAAGGCGGAUCUCUGGGCCAUUACUGACGCUGAGGAGCGAAAGCGUGGGGAGCGAACAGGAUUAGAUACCCCCGUAGUCC
rnacentral:rRNA from 1 species